CGGACGAGCUCGGUGGAC
rnacentral:miRNA from 1 species